rnacentral:rRNA from 1 species
AACGAACGCUGGCGGCAUGCCUAACACAUGCAAGUCGAACGAGACCUUCGGGACUAGUGGCGCACGGGUGCGUAACGCGUGGGAACCUGCCCUUAGGUUCGGAAUAACUCUCCGAAAGGGGUGCUAAUACCGGAUAAUGUCUUCGGACCAAAGAUUUAUCGCCUUUGGAUGGGCCCGCGUUGGAUUAGCUAGUUGGUAGGGUAAAAGCCUACCAAGGCGACGAUCCAUAGCUGGUCUGAGAGGAUGAUCAGCCACACUGGGACUGAGACACGGCCCAGACUCCUACGGGAGGCAGCAGUGGGGAAUAUUGGACAAUGGGCGAAAGCCUGAUCCAGCAAUGCCGCGUGAGUGAUGAAGGCCUUAGGGUUGUAAAGCUCUUUUACCCGGGAUGAUAAUGACAGUACCGGGAGAAUAAGCUCCGGCUAACUCCGUG